CCCGGAUGAACGCGCGGCGUGCAAACAUGCAAGCGAGCAAUGAUAAGAGCUGUUAUGAAGUAGCGGCGGACGGUACAGUGGUAACGCCUAGAUGGUAAUCCGGGAAACCGGGGUAAACCGGAUAACAUUUGAACGCUGGUUGAAACAAAGGGGUUCGGCGUCAUAUGAGGACCCGGUUGCUUAGUAGUGGUGAGGUAACGGUCCCAAGCACGAUGCGUAGCGACUUGAGAGGGUGUGGCCGGAUGGCGCGGGAGGCACUUCGCAAGAAAGUCGACGGAGCAGCGCUGAGUGAGAAGGCUUUCGGGUCGUAAAAUUUUAGGGAAGAACAAGUGUAGUUAAUAAGGGCACCUUGACGGUACCUACCAAAAGCCCGGCUAACUACGUGCCAGCCGGAAUUAUUGGGCGUAAAGCGCGCGCAGGUGGUUUUUAAGUUGAUGUGAAAGCCCCGGCUCAACCUACUGGAGACUUGAGUGCAGAAGAGGAAAGGAAGCGUAGAGUGGGGAACACCAGGCGAAGGCGACUUUCUUAACGCGAAA
rnacentral:rRNA from 1 species